rnacentral:rRNA from 1 species
AUUGAACGCUGGCGGCAGGCCUAACACAUGCAAGUCGGACGGUAGCACAGAGGAGCUUGCUCCUCGGGUGACGAGUGGCGGACGGGUGAGUAAUGUCUGGGGAUCUGCCCGAUAGAGGGGGAUAACCACUGGAAACGGUGGCUAAUACCGCAUAACGUCGCAAGACCAAAGAGGGGGACCUUCGGGCCUCUCACUAUAGGAUGAACACAGAUGGGAUUAGCUAGUAGGCGGGGUAAUGGCCCACCUAGGCGACGAUCCCUAGCUUGGCUGAGAGGAUGACCAGCCACACUGGAACUGAGACAUGGUCCAGACUCCUACGGGGGGUAGCAGUGGGGAAUAUUGCACAAUGGGCGCAAGCCUGAUGCAGCCAUGCCGCGUGUAUGAAGAAGGCCUUCGGGUUGUAAAGUACUUUCAGCGGGGAGGAAGGCGGUGAGGUUAAUAACCUCGCCGAUUGACGUUACCCGCAGAAGAAGCACCGGCUAACUCCGUGCCAGCCGCCGCGGUAA